GAAAUGCGAUAAGUAAUGUGAAUUGCAGAAUUCAGUGAAUCAUCGAAUCUUUGAACGCGCCUUGCGCUCCUUGGUAUUCCUUGGAGCAUGCCUGUUUGAGUAUCAUGAAAUCUUCAAAGUAAAUCUUUUGUUAACUCAAUUGGUUUCUACUUUGGUAUUGGAGGUCUUUGCAGCUUCACACCUGCUCCUCUUUGUUCAUUAGCUGGAUCUCAGUGUUAUGCUUGGUUCCACUCGGCGUGAUAAGUUAUCUAUCGCUGAGGACACUGUAAAAGGUGGCCAAGGUAAAUGCAGAUGAACCGCUUCUAAUAGUCCAUUGACUUGGACAAUACUUUUAUGAUCUGAUCUCAAAUCAGGUAGGACUACCCGCUGAACUUAAGC
rnacentral:misc_RNA from 1 species